AGGCAUAACCGCAGUAUAUAAAUGAUGCUGAAGCGUGAUCACGUUUUUUCAGGUUCCUGUAUCUUCCUGUCGAGUUGCUGGCUGCCCGAUGUAGAGGACUAGGAAUCAGGAGUCAGUGGCCGUAUGCUGGAGGCUGGAGCCGAGGGAGCGUGGCUCCCCUCGCUGUGGUUGUUGGCAGCAACGGAGAGAUAGCAGCGCGGCUGGAACGGCAAGAGAAAUAGUAUCAACAGAGGAAUGGAAUUAUAACUAGAAAUUUUAUUUUGGUGAAUAAGCUGAGGACUUCCUAGAGAAGCUGUAUGAUGUGAAAUAGUUGCAAAUAAUGACAAAGUAACUCGUAGAUAAGUUACUUUAAGGCUUUAUUUGUUAAGUUACUGCAUAGAGUUGCAAAAGCAUCGACAACAUAUUUCCUCAAAAUGUAGAGUUUACAAGUUUUCUGAGCUCCCUGAAGUUUGCAAUCUAUUCCAGUCUCAGUGUCCUCUAAUUUUACAUCAAUCUUCUAAUGAUCUAGAUUGCCCAUUGCAUGCAGCUAUCUUUUCAUGUUUGAUUUGGUUAAAGGAAAAUCAGCUUUACAUUGUGAAAAUGCAUAUUGUUAGCGAAUUGUGAAAUUGUGAGGAAUUGGGCUGUAAUUACUGAAUAUUGGCUCUCCAUGAACAUGUUGCUAAAAUGUGGGAAGAUGUGCCAGAGAAAUUGUCUCUCUCCUCAGUAGUCCAUCGUUACAGCAACAAUUGUGGAAAUCAGAUGAGAUGUGGAACCAUUUUUGAUUGCCUUAAAUGGCGCAUUUGUAUAUGCCAGCAAGAAUCUAUGCUUCUAUGUAAAUUGAAAAAGGGAAAUGAAACAGUCUGUGGAUGUGGACUCUCUCAGGUUGAACGUAGGUGGAUCAGCUUGUACUCAACAUCUGUUCAGGCUGGAAAUGCAGAGGAAGUUUAAUAUGUUUACUCAAUCAUACUGGUUUCCUGGGUGCCAAGGCAGAAAAUCUAAAACAUAUGACUUCUGUUCACACUAUGUGGGAGCUAUUUAGAACAAAGGUGAUGAUCCUGGAAGAAAAUGUGGAGACGCUAUCUCGGGUACCAGCACAGUUGGACUUCUUUGCUGCCAGCAAUCAACAGCCCUUAAACAUCAACAUUUCAAGGUUUUGUCGACCAGUGUACCAAGUAACCUCUAAAAACAUUUGAGAAGAAAUAGAAAAUAACACUAGAUUAUUUCUUAACAUAUCAAAAGAUUAUCAACAUAUGGCCUUGGAUGCUUUUCAUUCCCCAUCCUUAUAUGUCCAUACAAAAUUAUAAUACAUUUAAUGUAGCAUUCCAAUCCAGAUAGUAGUUUGUGGAGUUAAAUUUCAAACUCCCUUUUUGAAAAUUUCCUUGCAUUCAUAAACACGUUAGCUAUCCAGGACAGCGUGUUGCUCUAGGAACAAAAGUGGGGACUUACAAAGAAGGCAAAUUAUAAGAAAUAUAUUUCUGUCAAAAUUUUAUGAAACAAGGAAAAUCAUAAAAUAAAAAUUAAUAUUAGAAGAAA
ensembl:lncRNA novel transcript